AUUGAACGCUGGCGGCAGGCUUAACACAUGCAAGUCGAGCGGGGAAAGGUAGCUUGCUACCUAACCUAGCGGCGGACGGGUGAGUAAUGCUUAGGAAUCUGCCUAUUAGUGGGGGACAACAUCUCGAAAGGGAUGCUAAUACCGCAUACGUCCUACGGGAGAAAGCAGGGGACCUUCGGGCCUUGCGCUAAUAGAUGAGCCUAAGUCGGAUUAGCUAGUUGGUGGGGUAAAGGCCUACCAAGGCGACGAUCUGUAGCGGGUCUGAGAGGAUGAUCCGCCACACUGGGACUGAGACACGGCCCAGACUCCUACGGGAGGCAGCAGUGGGGAAUAUUGGACAAUGGGGGGAACCCUGAUCCAGCCAUGCCACGUGUGUGAAGAAGGCCUUUUGGUUGUAAAGCACUUUAAGCGAGGAGGGGGCUACCGAGAUUAAUACUCUUGGAUAGUGGACGUUACUCGCAGAAUAAGCACCGGCUAACUCUGUG
rnacentral:rRNA from 1 species